rnacentral:rRNA from 1 species
GGAGUUAGCCGGUGCUUCUUCUGUGAGUGAUGUCCUUCCUGCCGGCUAUUAACCCGCAGGCCUUCUUCCUCACUGAAAGUGCUUUACAACCCGAAGGCCUUCUUCACACACGCGGCAUGGCUGGAUCAGGGUUGCCCCCAUUGUCCAAUAUUCCCCACUGCUGCCUCCCGUAGGAGUCUGGGCCGUGUCUCAGUCCCAGUGUGGCUGAUCAUCCUCUCAGACCAGCUACGGAUCGUCGCCUUGGUGAGCCGUUACCUCACCAACCAGCUAAUCCGACAUAGGCUCAUCCGAUAGCGCGAGGCCCGAAGGUCCCCCGCUUUCCCCCGUAGGGCGUAUGCGGUAUUAGCCUGGGUUUCCCCAGGUUAUCCCCCACUACCGGGCAGAUUCCUAUGCAUUACUCACCCGUCCGCCGCUCGCCACCAGGGAGCAAGCUCCCCGUGCUGCCGCUCUACUUGCAUGUGUUAGGCCUGCCGCCAGCGUUCAAUCUGAGCANGANCAACUACUGA